UACGUAGGGUGCAAGCGUUUGUCCGGAAUUAUUGGGCGUAAAGAGCUCGUAGGCGGUCUGUCACGUCGGCUGUGAAAUCCCGAGGCUCAACCUCGGGUCUGCAGUCGAUACGGGCAAACUAGAGUAUUGCAGGGGAGACUGGAAUUCCUGGUGUAGCGGUGAAAUGCGCAGAUAUCAGGAGGAACACCGGUGGCGAAGGCGGGUCUCUGGGCAACAACUGACGCUGAGGAGCGAAAGCGUGGGGAGCGAACAGG
rnacentral:rRNA from 1 species